GACGAACCGUGCGAACGUUAUUCGGAAUCACUGGGCUUAAAGCGCGUGUAGGCGGGCCGGCACGUCGGGCGUUGAAAUCCCCCGGCUCAACCGGGGAAGCGGCGCCGAUACGUCCGGCCUCGAGGGACGUAGGGGGGGCUGGAACUUCCGGUGGAGCGGUGAAAUGCGUUGAGAUCGGAAGGAACGCCCGUGGCGAAAGCGAGCCCCUGGACGUCUACUGACGCUGAGACGCGAAAGCCAGGGGAGCGAACGGG
rnacentral:rRNA from 1 species